UCUCACUCUACAGACGAAGAAACUGAUGCACGCAGCAGUUACAUGAUUCACCCAGUCACACGGCUUGCAAGCGGCAGAGCAGGAAUCCGAGCCCGGGCCCUUGACUUCUGUGUCCCAUCAGCUCUCACUUUGUUGUCGGUGCCUGCCUAUCUCAGACAUUAGUCAGUAAGCCCUUGAAGGCAAGAACUGUCUUUUUAUCCUCAUUCCUGAGCCCUAAGCACCAUGUCUAGGACACAGUGUAUGCUCAAUAACUAUCUACUGAAUAAAGGCACGGGUAACUGGAGGGGGGAGAAGCCAGAGGAAGGCCAUGCUGUUUAAACCUCUCAGACCUCAAACUGGUCAUGAAUUUUUUCCUCUGCUUUUACUCAAGAUAUUAAACAGCCACGAAACAGAUCAUUGAUUCCAACCUACUCCAUCCUCUGAUGGACUUUGAGCAACCAGCCCUCCCAAAGGCAGUCCUAGCUCCGAGGACCUGAGAUAGAGCUCCCGGGUAACUGGCCUGAGGUGUGACUUCAGUCUCCCAGGUUCCCCACAAAAACUGGACAUCUGACCCGCAGCUUCGAAGCUGAUGUGCUGAGGUGGAAUCAAAUAGUGAGGACUUCCCAGAACAUCCGAGUGAAUCAGCUGCUCAAGUUGGGACAGAGCCAGAACAUGCGCCCACAAAGGGUGGCAAGUUGCAAAUUGAGGUCUAAUAGGAGCCAUCUGGUCUGGAGAAAUGGCCAACGGGAGGGAUGGGGGCCUGGAAACGGCCCAGAGAGCUAACUUAUCUGGGGGUAAAUGAUGAGUCAGCUCUGCCCAGAAAUGAAAGUGUUUAAUGAAGUCCUUUGCAAGAGGCCCCACAGAAUCUCUUCUUGGGGUAGCCAGAGUUGGGUAAUGCCAUCUAAAGGUUAGCCUUGGCUUCUGAGUUUUAAAAUGCCUGGUCCCCAGGGUAGCAUGGACAUGGGUGAGCAUGGAGAUGGGUGUGGCAAACCUCCACUGCUGUCUUGGGGGCAGCAUGAGGUGCAGAAAACCAUUUCACAGCCAGACAGAUGCGCCAGGCAAGAUGUGACAGAAGUGCUGGGCUGGCCGGGGGCCAGAAUUGUCCCCCUAGAAUUGAGAGCUUAGCCUUCGUCCUGGAGGGCAACUUUCUUCUGUAUCUUCUUCUCUCAGCUGUAGUCACUGUUGCCUGUAAAAAAGCAAAAAGCAAACCAAUUACCAGGUCUAAUUAUCUCCCUUCAGCCUCUUCCUGGCAGCAGCUGCCGAGGCUCUUGCCAAAACGCCGCUUCACCAACACCCUGACACAGAAGCCCCAAGUCAGCGAGGGGGAGGUUCGGCUGGCCCCAGCAGCUGUGAGGCUUCCCAACACCCAGACAGGGCACAGGAGCACCACGUCGGCAGCUUCCAAGCGGUUCUCUCCCAUGAGCCCCCUUGGCCUCCACAUCUGGACAGAUGGCCACCUGGAAUUGCACCAGAAAAUGACACAAUGGCAAUCAACAGCCACUUGCCCUAACUGCCACCCCCAUCCCAGGAAGUGAGGAGGCCUUUGAAGGCCUGUCUCUGCUUGUAGAGGGAGCUCCAAGGUCAGGGACAAGAGGCUGCUCCCUCCUGAAGGAGGUCCCGAGCUGCUGAGGCUCUCUCUGGACUUGCACAAUAGUGAGUCAGCUUCCAGAUCCCCAGUAGCCUCAGGGGCCUGGACUCAAGUGAGCCAGGAGUGGGGGAAACCAGGCGGCCAUCUCCUCUGCCUCCAACCUUGCAGCCCCAGGGGAAGAAGGACCAGGUGUGUUCGCCGGGCAGUUAUGAAACCUGAGAAGCUGGAGUGGCUUUGGGCUGGUGCUUAGAGAACAGGCGGGUAUUGUGUGGUUGGGCACAGAGAGGGUAUAGAAUACCCAUCAGUUCACGCACAAACACGAUGCCAGCCUGCGCAGAGGGAGGGAGGGCCUUCCAGGAGACUGCUGCUUUCAAACUGGAAUGGAAAAAGGAAGGUCGCCCCUAUGAGGGUGCUGGUGACCCACACCCAGAAGAAAGGAGGCCCUGGAGCCAAGAUGGAUGUUUCCCAGCCCUCACCCCUAUCAUAUGACAGUUCCACAGACCUCAACUCACAUGCCUGAGACAACAUCUCUGGGAUACAGAAAUUCCAUUGGUCAGUGAUGAAAGAAGAAUGUUUUCCUGAACAGUUUGGUGGGGGUUAGUUUCUCCAAGCGUCGUCAUGCUGGUCAUCAGCAAAUAUUUACUGAGCAGGACUGUCAGCAUGGUCCUGUCUGAGGUAUUUGGUUACAAGGGUCAGGGCCUGCCCUCCCGGCCCCAUAUCCUGAAGACAGACCAGAACAGGUCGCAAAGCUUAGCAGGAGCUUGAGCAACCAGACACGCCCAGCUGAGACACAGAACACCUUAUCUUUGUCCUGAAAACAAAAGCUUUGCAUGUUUUACUAUUUUUCCCUUUCACAGUGCCUGGAAGGCUGGAGAAGGUGAGAAGGGGACAAGAGCAAAGGAGAGAAACUGGGUGAGAGCACAAUGACGCAUGGAGAGAGUGACAAUGGAGCGAGAGGCUGGUAGAGCUGGGGGACCACGGCUCCCAGAGCUGACUGGGGAAGGAGACAGGGCAGGCACCUCAUCAGUCAUUCUUUCCCCACCUGUCCUGCCACAUUCACCCAGUGCGUUCAGCUGUUUCAGCUUGGUAGGUCUCCCUUUCUCCCUUCACUUACUGCCAUGAAGGCUGUGGUUAUCAGUGUCCUGGUUCCUGCAGCCCCGGUGGCCACACGAAGCUCCGAGGCCAGUCCCCUCACCCUGUGGCCUCUAGAAGGAAUAAAGUCAAGAUGGGGUGGGAGGACCUUCCUCACCAUGUUUCUAGUCGUCACCACCCACUCCAAUGCCCUCUUUCCCAGCCAGUCAUUCUAGGCCUCUCUGCCACUAAGAUCACCAUAUUCCAGGUACCCCAAUCUCCCCAGGGAAAG
ensembl:lncRNA